AGCCCCGCGCUCGUCUUUGGGGCCACCGGUCGCCCCCGCCUCCGGGACCUGCGGGGAGGGCCCGCGAGAGAUGGAGACGAGAGAUCUGGACUUCUGAACAUCUACCGGAAAAGAUAAAAUGUGCAAGCCCUUCAGAACGCUGGGGAGGUUGGGCUGAACUGCAGUGGGAGAGGAGAAGAGAUGCUGGCGUGAAGGGGUAGGUGGCUCACAUCUGUAAUCUUACUUUGGGAGGCCAAGACGGGGCUUCACUUUGAAGCCAGGAGUUUGAGACC
rnacentral:lncRNA from 1 species